CUUUUAAAGAUUCUCUUAGCCACGUUGACUGCACGGGAAAAACCUUUUUAAAACAUUUUUUACGUUGCUUGAACCUACCAUUUCGAAAGUAUUCCGAAGGCUAAAGUGAGAAAUAAGCCCAGGUUAGGGAGAGGAGAAACGAGUUUCACGUCCUGGUCUCGCACCGCGUUGGAUUGUCGCUGGGACGGCAGUCAGGCAUUUGGUGUAGUCGCCUAAGAGGUGGGUCUUUCGGCUGGGGCCCCGGGAAACCCCGUGGGCCUGCGCGGCGUUCUUCUUUUUCUAUCCGCCAUCUGCGGUGGAGCCGCCACCAAAAUGCAGAUUUUCGUGAAAACCCUUACGGGGAAGACCAUCACCCUCGAGGUUGAACCCUCGGAUACGAUAGAAAAUGUAAAGGCCAAGAUCCAGGAUAAGGAAGGAAUUCCUCCUGAUCAGCAAAGACUGAUCUUUGCUGGCAAGCAACCGGAAGAUGGACGUACUUUGUCUGACUACAAUAUUCAAAAGGAGUCUACUCUUCAUCUUGUGUUGAGACUUCGUGGUGGUGCUAAGAAAAGGAAGAAGUCUUAAACACCACUCCCAAGAAGAAGCACAAGAGAAAGAAGGUGAAGCUGGCUGUCCUGAAAUAUUAUAAGGUGGAUGAGAAUGGCAAAAUUAGUCGCCUUCGUCGAGAGUGCCCGUCGGAUGAAUGUGGUGCUGGGGUGUUUAUGGCAAGCCACUUUGACAGACAUUAUUGUGGCAAAUGUUGUCUGACUUACUGUUUCAACAAGCCAGAAGACAAGUAACUGUAUGAGUUAAUAAAAGACACGAACUAACAUUAUUGUUGGAUUU